rnacentral:rRNA from 1 species
GGGGAAUUUUGGACAAUGGGCGCAAGCCUGAUCCAGCCAUGCCGCGUGUCUGAAGAAGGCCUUCGGGUUGUAAAGGACUUUUGUCAGGGAAGAAAAGGCUGUCGCUAAUACCGACAGUUGAUGACGGUACCUGAAGAAUAAGCACCGGCUAACUACGUGCCAGCAGCCGCGGUAAUACGUAGGGUGCGAGCGUUAAUCGGAAUUACUGGGCGUAAAGCGAGCGCAGACGGUUACUUAAGCAGGAUGUGAAAUCCCCGGGCUCAACCUGGGAACUGCGUUCUGAACUGGGUGACUAGAGUGUGUCAGAGGGAGGUAGAAUUCCACGUGUAGCAGUGAAAUGCGUAGAGAUGUGGAGGAAUACCGAUGGCGAAGGCAGCCUCCUGGGAUAACACUGACGUUCAUGCCCGAAAGCGUGGGUAGCAAACAGGAUUAGAUACCCUGGUAGUCCACGCCCUAAACGAUGUCGAUUAGCUGUUGGGCAGCAUGACUGCUUAGUAGCGAAGCUAACGCGUGAAAUCGACCGCCUGGGGAGUACGGUCGCAAGAUUA